ensembl:lncRNA
AUCUCUCUUUGGAGUUUUCUUUUUGCUGGAGUUUUCUUGUGAGCCUGCAACACUGCUGAAAGUAUAAAUGUAUACUGUCUUCUGUAGAGACAACACUGGUGACACUGAAAAGGAUGGAGCUCCAUGGACUCAAGCUGGUGGUUGAUACAGAGGGCAACACCUCCUCCCCUUCUCCUCCGCCUGUCUUUCCUAAAGAGUUUGUACCCAUCUAUUCCUACAUUCUAGUCAAGAGAGACAUUCUACCGCAUCUCAGUGGUGUCAGUGACAUCAUAGCCCUGUAGGCAUACACACACCUUCAACUCUUUCUGCUUGUUCCCCAUGCUCUGUGCAUUAGUGUACAGGCAUUUGAGCUGGGCUCCCCCUAAGGCUGAUUUUUCCGAUUAGAGUUCCC